GACAUUGAAGGUACCAGAAGAAUAAGCGCCGGCUAACUUCGUGCCAGCAGCCGCGGUAAUACGUGGGGUGCAAGCGUUGUCGCGGAUUUAGUGGGUUAAAGGGUGCGUAGGCGGUCUAUUAAGUCAGUGGUGAAAUCCGGGCAGCUCAACUGGUGAUGUGCCAAUGAUACUGAUGUAAUUGAGUACAGAGCGAGGUAGGCGGAAUUGGGCAGUGUAGGGGAGAAAUGCAUAGAUAUUGGCAAGAACACCGAUAGCGAAGGC
rnacentral:rRNA from 1 species